rnacentral:rRNA from 1 species
GUCGGCGUGCUUAACACAUGCAAGUCGAACGGAAAGGCCCUGCUUUUGUGGGGUGCUCGAGUGGCGAACGGGUGAGUAACACGUGAGUAACCUGCCCUUGACUUUGGGAUAACUUCAGGAAACUGGGGCUAAUACCGGAUAGGAGCUCCUGCUGCAUGGUGGGGGUUGGAAAGUUUCGGCGGUUGGGGAUGGACUCGCGGCUUAUCAGCUUGUUGGUGGGGUAGUGGCUUACCAAGGCUUUGACGGGUAGCCGGCCUGAGAGGGUGACCGGCCACAUUGGGACUGAGAUACGGCCCAGACUCCUACGGGAGGCAGCAGUGGGGAAUAUUGCACAAUGGGCGGAAGCCUGAUGCAGCAACGCCGCGUGCGGGAUGACGGCCUUCGGGUUGUAAACCGCUUUCGCCUGUGACGAAGCGUGAGUGACGGUAAUGGGUAAAGAAGCACCGGCUAACUACGUGCCAGCAGCCGCGGUGAUACGUAGGGUGCGAGCGUUGUCCGGAUUUAUUGGGCGUAAAGGGCUCGUAGGUGGUUGAUCGCGUCGGAAGUGUAAUCUUGGGGCUCAACCCUGAGCGUGCUUUCGAUACGGGUUGACUUGAGGAAGGUAGGGGAGAAUGGAAUUCCUGGUGGAGCGGUGGAAUGCGCAGAUAUCAGGAGGAACACCAGUGGCGAAGGCGGUUCUCUGGGCCUUUCCUGACGCUGAGGAGCGAAAGCGUGGGGAGCGAACAGGCUUAGAUACCCUGGUAGUCCACGCUGUAAACGGUGGGUACUAGGUGUGGGGUCCAUUCCACGGGUUCCGUGCCGUAGCUAACGCUUUAAGUACCCCGCCUGGGGAGUACGGCCGCAAGGCUAAAACUCAAAGGAAUUGACGGGGCCCCGCACAAGCGGCGGAGCAUGCGGAUUAAUUCGAUGCAACGCGUAGAACCUUACCUGGGUUUGACAUGGAUCGGGAGUGCUCAGAGAUGGGUGUGCCUCUUUUGGGGUCGGUUCACAGGUGGUGCAUGGCUGUCGUCAGCUCGUGUCGUGAGAUGUUGGGUUAAGUCCCGCAACGAGCGCAACCCUUGUUCACUGUUGCCAGCACGUUAUGGUGGGGACUCAGUGGAGACCGCCGGGGUCAACUCGGAGGAAGGUGGGGAUGACGUCAAGUCAUCAUGCCCCUUAUGUCCAGGGCUUCACGCAUGCUACAAUGGCUGGUACAGAGAGUGGCGAGCCUGUGAGGGUGAGCGAAUCUCGGAAAGCCGGUCUCAGUUCGGAUUGGGGUCUGCAACUCGACCUCAUGAAGUCGGAGUCGCUAGUAAUCGCAGAUCAGCAACGCUGCGGUGAAUACGUUCCCGGGGCUUGUACACACCGCCCGUCAAGUCAUGAAAGUUGGUAACACCCGAAGCCGGUGGCCUAACCGUUGUGGGGGAGCCGUCGAAGGUGGGACUGGUGAUUAGGACUAAGU